AACGAACGCUGGCGGCAUGCCUAACACAUGCAAGUCGAACGAAGGCUUCGGCCUUAGUGGCGCACGGGUGCGUAACGCGUGGGAAUCUGCCCUUUGGUUCGGAAUAACAGCUGGAAACGGCUGCUAAUACCGGAUGAUGACGAAAGUCCAAAGAUUUAUCGCCAGAGGAUGAGCCCGCGUUGGAUUAGGUAGUUGGUGGGGUAAAGGCCUACCAAGCCGACGAUCCAUAGCUGGUCUGAGAGGAUGAUCAGCCACACUGGGACUGAGACACGGCCCAGACUCCUACGGGAGGCAGCAGUGGGGAAUAUUGGACAAUGGGCGCAGGCCUGAUCCAGCAAUGCCGCGUGAGUGAUGAAGGCCCUAGGGUUGUAAAGCUCUUUUACCCGGGAAGAUAAUGACUGUACCGGGAGAAUAAGCCCCGGCUAACUCCGUG
rnacentral:rRNA from 1 species